UACAGAGGUCUCAAGCGUUGUUCGGAUUCAUUGGGCGUAAAGGGUGCGUAGGUGGCGGGGCAAGUCUGGUGUGAAAUCCCGGGGCUCAACCCUGGAACUGCACUGGAUACUGCUUUGCUAGAGUACUGGAGAGGGAACUGGAAUUUACGGUGUAGCAGUGAAAUGCGUAGAUAUCGUAAGGAAGACCAGUGGCGAAGGCGAGUUCCUGGACAGUUACUGACACUGAGGCACGAAGGCCAGGGGAGCAAAACCGG
rnacentral:rRNA from 1 species